CCUACGGGUGGCAGCAGUGGGGGAUAUUGCACAAUGGGGGAAACCCUGAUGCAGCGACGCCGCGUGUAGGAAGACGGUCCUCUGGAUUGUAAACUACUGUCCCCAGGGACGAAGAUGACGGUACCUGGGGAGGAAGCUCCGGCUAACUACGUGCCAGCAGCCGCGGUAAUACGUAGGGAGCGAGCGUUGUCCGGAAUUACUGGGUGAAAUGGGAGCGUAGGCGGGGAUGCAAGUUGGGUGUUAAAUCAACCGGCUCAACUGGUAGUCGCACUCAAAACUGCAGCGCUUGAGUGAAGUAGAGGCAGGCAGAAUUCCUAGUGUAGCGGUGAAAUGCGUAGAUAUUAGGAGGAACACCAGUGGCGAAGGCGGCCUGCUGGGCUUUUACUGACGCUGAGGCUCGAAAGUGUGGGGAGCAAACAGGAUUAGAUACCCCUGUAGUC
rnacentral:rRNA from 1 species